GAGGUGUUAGUAAAACAACUACAUAGCCCUGUCAAAGCUAAACUAUAGGUGUAAACCCUAUACACCUCU
rnacentral:tRNA from 1 species